CAGUCUGUCAGAGAUCAGCUGUUCUUCUCUGGCUUCAGCUCUGAGGUCAAACCCCUCUCAUCUGAGAGAACUGGAUCUGAGAGACAACAACCUGCAGGACUCAGCAGUGAAGGAGCUGCUUGAUCUACAGCAGAGUCCAACCUGUCGACUGGAGACUCUGAGGUUGGAGGGGAGAUCACCUCAGAUAGAUAACCCUAACCCUAACAGGUUGGAGACAACACACAAGACCCCCCGGUGUUGUGUGUUGUCUUAGUGGAGCUGAGUGUGAAGAGGACAGUGUGUGUGGACGGAGGCUGAGCUGUGUCCUGAGGAUCCAGAGGCUGAAGCAGCAGCAGCUUGUGUGUAGUCUCCAAUCUACACAACCCCUAAUCUGCAUGUGUUUGUGAGAUGAAGCCGGAGCACCUGGAGAAAACACGUGGAGAACAUGCAGACUCCACACAGGAAGACCCAUCUGAACCGGAUUCAAACCAGCAACCUUCCUGCCCCGAUUGUGUUUAUUCACAUGAAGAAUGUGUUUAUUGAAAUGACACAACACAAACAGAAUAUAUAACCCCUCUAUAAAGAGUCA